AAAAGAUAAAAAAUAAAAAAAAGCUUGAUCUCGUGUGAUCUCAGAAGCUAAGCAGGUUCGGGCCUGGUUAGUACUUGGAUGGGAGACCGCCUGGGAAUACCAGGUGCUGUAAGCUUUUC
rnacentral:rRNA from 1 species